rnacentral:rRNA from 1 species
AACGAACGCUGGCGGCAGGCCUAACACAUGCAAGUCGAGCGAGGACUUCGGUCCUAGCGGCGGACGGGUGAGUAACGCGUGGGAACGUGCCCUUUGCUUCGGAAUAGCCCUGGGAAACUGGGAGUAAUACCGGAUGAGCCCUUUGGGGGAAAGAUUUAUCGGCGAAGGAUCGGCCCGCGUUGGAUUAGGUAGUUGGUGGGGUAAUGGCCUACCAAGCCGACGAUCCAUAGCUGGUUUGAGAGGAUGAUCAGCCACACUGGGACGGAGACACGGCCCAGACUCCUACGGGAGGCAGCAGUGGGGAAUCUUAGACAAUGGGGGAAACCCUGAUCUAGCCAUGCCGCGUGAGCGAUGAAGGCCUUAGGGUUGUAAAGCUCUUUCAGCUGGGAAGAUAAUGACGGUACCAGCAGAAGAAGCCCCGGCUAACUCCGUGC